ensembl:lncRNA
CAGCUGGUGUCUGUGGAGCUCCAGCCUCAUGUUGGUUGUCUCCGAGCUUUUGUUGCAACUGUGGAGCCGAGUUGUAACAAAUGGGGGCUCGUCCAAACAGUCCAACCUGUGUAAACAGCGGCAGCUUGACUGGGAGGAUCGGCGCGUUCUGGGUGUUCGGAGACACAUCAAUGCACCGAGCAUCUCCUGACGUGCUGCUGUCAUGGUAACCGAGGAGGCGGUGAGGAGGAAGGAGGACGAGAUGGACUAGCAGAAUGACCUGUAAUCGCAGUGCCAUUUAAACUGCCCCUGAGGACACACAACCAGCUACACACUGCUACACAAACCCUGCAGCCUUCAGAUGACUGACGGAGGCUCAAAACCGAACGCUAAUAACCGGAGUCAGCCAGCAGGAAGUGGCUUUUAUUCCAGGUGGAUUAUUUCACAGAGAACCACUGAAGUGUUUAAAGACGCCUGAAGGGAUGAAACCAAUUUCCCCUCCUGAGAUUAAAACUGAAACUGGAUUAGAAACUGAGCUGCUGGAAGGACAUUCAGACAGAAAAACAAAAGGAAACACAUAUAUAGAUACAGGCUUUAAAUAGCAGCAACGUCCAACUUUUACGCUUUAUAAAAAC